rnacentral:rRNA from 1 species
UACGGAGGGGACUAACGUUAUUCAUCAUAACUGGGCGUAAAGCGUGCGUAGGUGGUUUGUUAAGUCUGAUGUGAAAGCCCUGGGCUCAACCUGGGAAUUGCAUUGGAUACUGGCAGGCUAGAGUGCGGUAGAGGAUGGCGGAAUUCCCGGUGUAGCAGUGAAAUGCGUAGAGAUCGGGAGGAACAUCUGUGGCGAAGGCGGCCAUCUGGACCAGCACUGACACUGAGGCACGAAAGCGUGGGGAGCAAACAGG